rnacentral:pre_miRNA from 1 species
GCCAUAUUUUUACCGCUACUGCAUUUCAUUGUAAUAAUUGUAGUACGGAAAAGAUAUGGGGA